rnacentral:rRNA from 1 species
GGCCAGACUCCUACGGGAGGCAGCAGUGAGGAAUAUUGGUCAAUGGACGCAAGUCUGAACCAGCCAUGCCGCGUGCAGGAUGACGGCUCUAUGAGUUGUAAACUGCUUUUGUACGAGGGUAAACCCCGAUACGUGUAUCGGGUUGAAAGUAUCGUACAAAUAAGGAUCGGCUAACUCCGUGCCAGCAGCCGCGGUAAUACGGAGGAUCCGAGCGUUAUCCGGAUUUAUUGGGUUUAAAGGGUGCGUAGGCGGUUUGAUAAGUUAGAGGUGAAAUGUCGGAGCUCAACCCCGAAACUGCCUCUAAUACUGUUGGACUAGAGAAUAGUUGCGGUAGGCGGAAUGUAUGGUGUAGCGGUGAAAUGCGUAGAUAUUAGAAGGAACACCAAUAGCGUAGGCAGGUUGCUGGGACGGUUCUGACACUAAGGCACGAAAGCGUAGGGAGCAAACGGGAUUAGAUACCCCCGUAC